UCCCUGGUGGCUCAGAUGGUAAAGCGUCUGCCCGCAGUGCAGGAGACCCAGGUUCGAUUCCUGGAGAAGGAA
rfam:Ovis aries breed Texel chromosome 2, whole genome shotgun sequence.